AGAACGUCACCAGAGAUAUGCUGCAACAAGGGUAGGAUAGCAUGAAGCCAAAAUCAAAUCAAACCAAACUGCAUCCAAAUUAAUUCGGUCAGGUCAGAGCUGAGGUCACCCUGAAAAUAGGAGGUCGGAGAGGAAGCUCGCAUUCAGAGCAGACAAGUAGACUUGUCUUGAUGCGGCCGCGCCCGUAAAACGCGAACUCCAUUUGCCGUUCCGGAAGCUUGGGAUCGACGACGUCGGUGUUGCACCUGUGUUCAAAAAACUUGCCGUAGGGGACGUAUUCGCCCCCGGAGUCGCAGAGGAUGCAUUUGAACUCCAUCUGAGCGAUGGUGCGGUCCAGCAAAUGGCACCUGGAGAUACAUGCCUUUUCGUGUCGGCGGGUGCAGGCACCACAAUAGAUGUGGCUGCCAGCGCACUGCAAGGCCCAGAAGUGAAGUUGAGCUAAGGAAAAAAAACGAAAACUUUGCGGGCUUUUCAUCUCACCCACCGUGUACGCUUGGGCCCUGAUCUGGUCAGGCCGGAGGGGUUGUUGGCAGUAUGCGCAAUCCAGUACUAGCUGGUUGAUCUUGAGUUCAAACACACCCAUCUCCUGCGAUUGAAUCUAUCAAAUUAAGCGUCGUGGAGAAGCAAUAGAGAGAAGAAGUAGGAAGAAGGAGAAGCAUCUAAUGUAGCAUCCUAGAACAUGGUAACAUUAAUAUAAAAAUAAUAAUACUGUACUGAUUUAAACACAAUAGAAUGAUGUUAGAACUCGUUGAUCAACAAAAUAGUGAGAUGCACAUAAGUAAGUAGGUAACAAUAGUGAUUUCAUAUAGUGUUGAAAUGGGCCAGCAUGUAGAUCCGGUAAGUAGUAAGCAUCAGCGAUAGCAAUUUGAUUGGCCCAUGACUAAUGCCAGAUUAGUGCUGAGCUUAUUGAAUAAUACUAUAUAUGGGUUUCUCAUGCUGAGCAUACGCCCCAUUGUGCCCCAUCGGUGGCCCGCCACCGGUGGCACAUCAUCAAACUGUAGUCCACAUACCACUUUAGAUCUAAUCACAUAAAAAACACACCAGUCAGGACCUAGUCAUAACAGGAUGCCAACUUCAUGUGCAUGUACCCAAGAUGAAUUGCAUAAGAAUAGUUUAAUCACAAAUAAACUUACAUGGUUGUCAUCCAAUGAGUCAUCAUCAUUCCCAACCUCGUCACCACGAACAAUGUGCUUGUCCAUUUUACCAACCUCAUAAGGAGCCUUUUGCUUGUUUUUUCCUUAAAACAAAAACAUGUACAUAUAGUUCAGCUGGCAGCAAGAUUCAAGGGCCAGUAGCAUAGAUGCUCUAAAGAGUAAACAUGCAACAAAUAAUUGGGGAAAUUACAUACCCUGGAUACAACUGCUGCACGUUGAAAGUCUCUCAGUUUCCUCUUCAUCUGAAAUGAGGAUAAAGUCUGAUAUUCUCAGAUCUGUGAGUUGGCCUCCACUUUGCAAGCUGGGGAAUAAGGAUACAAUGCAAAAGAGCACAGACGCCCCCAAAUUGCCCGGCACAUUUAAUACUAAAAAAAAUGAAACAAGAUGCAUGAUGGAGCUAGCAUGGGUUGUAACACCAUUACACUCUUUCUGCUUCUUUCACCUAUGUGGCUGAUUGGUUUAUCUUUAAUUAUCAAAGUGAUGAAAACUGACAUCUUAUGGCAGUAGUCAAGGAUUGUUAAACCGGUUAUCUGUUCAUCUAGGGAUCAAAAGGAAUAUACAAGUGAUUUUUUAUUUAUUUAUUUAAUGGCAAUUGUUGUUCCACACGACCUCACAUCUCUUUCUUAUUCUUGCUAAUUGUUUUGAUCUCGAAUAAACUCAUAGCUCGCAGCUACUGCUACUUUAUGGCUAUUGGCGCCCUAUGAAAGCAUCCAAAACACUGACAAUCUGCUAUUCUAUUUGAAAGAGGAUGGAACGUUGGACAUAAGAGUGCCCUUCGAGGGCUGGAGGAACCUGUGAAUACUUUUAGAAGCAUUCUUGGUGUUCAUAUAAUCCUUUGGAUAAUUUCAUAUGUUUCCUGAAGGACAAGGACAAAGUAAUCCCAGUGUUCAUACAAUCACACUAAAAGCUGUUGAUGCAGAGAAAAUUAGGUUCAGUUUAUGUUGCUGGUGUUCUUGCCGUACAUAUAAUUUUGAUCCCUGCAGUUUGCUUCUUAGUACGGCUACCCCUUGGACUUGGUAGCCAUACUAAGAAGCUAUCUUGAAGAUGUACAUGUUUCUUUGCCAAUUAUUAUAUAUAUGUCAAAUAUUUACUCAUUUUCCUUAUCAAUAUAUCAGCAGUCCAUGUCUCACUUAUUAUUUAUUUCAUUUGAACUAAACUAAAUAUACUUGAUUUGGGUUCAUUUGAAACUUUUAUGCUUUGCUAAAAAAAUUAGAUUUCAAAACAUAUUAUAAACUUUUUGUUAAAUGUAAGAUCAACAAAGUGAUUUAUGGGGCUUUGAUGGCAUAGUAACAUUCCCAAACGAUGUUUAUCAUUGCUGCAUUGUUUCAGCAACAUUCUGGUGAUUUUACUCUGUGUUCUAUAAGUUAGUGGCAGAGAAUGAGCUGUAUUUCUAGUAGAAAACAAUCAACGAGAAAACAAGAACCAACUGAAAAUGCCCACCGAACAGCCACGCAAUGACCUAGCGCUAGCGCUAGAAAGGUGGUGUGAUGCCAACACAACCAUCCAAACAUCUGCCCCAAGAGGGCGCGUUCAAACAACCAUGUGGAUGCAGGAAGAGGGGAGCAGAGGUGGGAGGCAUGCAUGUAUUACCACACAAGUUUUUCCGAGCACUUGAGCCUGGCGCAAUCUUUUGCAAUUUAUGCUUGGAUGGGCACUCCCGCAGCUGGUGCCAAGCCAAGGCGGAGAAUGGAAUGUAUUCUUGGCAAGCCACGCAUUUCACCAUGAUACCUUGGACGAGGUGGUCGAGCUCACUGCAGCGAACAUAGUUGACGAUAUCCCCACGGUAGCAGGGGCUACAAAUGAGAACGUCACCAGAGAUAUGCUGCAACAAGGGUAGGAUAGCAUGAAGCCAAAAUCAAAUCAAACCAAACUGCAUCCAAAUUAAUUCGGUCAGGUCAGAGCUGAGGUCACCCUGAAAAUAGGAGGUCGGAGAGGAAGCUCGCAUUCAGAGCAGACAAGUAGACUUGUCUUGAUGCGGCCGCGCCCGUAAAACGCGAACUCCAUUUGCCGUUCCGGAAGCUUGG
rnacentral:lncRNA from 1 species